UGUGCUGACCGAAAGGUCCUGGUCCACCAAAUGGCGGGGAUAACAACC
rnacentral:sRNA from 12 species